CACACGGGAAUAAAGGACAUCAAAGGAUGCCAAACUGUUUUCUUCAGUAAAACCAGAGGCGUGCGUUUGCCAUAAAUCGUUGAGAAACUAUGUUGCUUAGUGAUAAUUGUUAAGCUAAGAGUGGGAACAUUCCAUGGAAAGAUGGAGGCUUCCUGCUCUUCACGCUACCGGAGAGCUGUUCUGGUCAUGGUCGCAGUUAUCAACUUGUUCCCUUGUUGGACUCACGCAGAAACCACAUCAGCGCCAAGCACAAGGUGGAGACAGCCCCAGUAUCAUGGCUUACAAAGAACUGGGACGAUGGUUGCCCUCAUUCUUGGAUGUGUUAUCGUUCCACUAGGGCUUGUUGGGUUUCUAAUACUGCUAGUUAACAAGUGCUACAGUUAUUGGAAGCAAUCUCGCCAAGAAAAGAUCGGGCAGCCGCCCGUUGCAGACAAGCCACGACGACCACCCUCAGCCGAAAGUGCAAGCAGGCUAUAACUGCAUAAUCCGCACAGAUUAAAGGGCAAAUCAACGGGCUUCACUGAAGGGUCAUGACGGCUUCACUGGAGGGUCUACCGGCUUCGUUAAGGGGAAUCUAUGAAAUGCAAACAUAUUGAUGCAACCAAUCAACCAAUAUUGGUGCCAUUAUGGGUUUGUUUUUUACUAAUAAAAAUGUGUACACCGAUGGGUGUGAUGUCAUCCAAGGGAGAAAACUCA